GGCCAUGACUGUACCAUCCUGAAGAAUCCUGAUCCCAUCUGAUUUCAGAACCUAAACAGGGCUGGGCCUGGUCACACUUUGAUGAGAGACCUCCAGGCAAAACCAUGUGUUGUGUUGG
rnacentral:rRNA from 1 species